CAUUCUUUAUCUGGCCUCAAAAUGCACUCUUAACUCAUGGCGUCUAUUUGGCUGAACUUCAUGUUAAAUUUUCAACCUCGGGCAAGGAUUCAGAAGUUUUACAAACAGGCUGUUGUGUAUUUUUCAGCAAGGAUGUCUUUGAAGAAGUGUAGUACUCUUAAGUCAUUACCUUAAAUGAAAAGCUUGUAAGAAAGCCUUUCCACUGCCAUGGUACCCUGGGAGCAGCAGUGUUGGAUGAGGGCAGGGUGACAUCCAGUGGCUGGCUUCUGCCUGGCUCUGGGAAGGACUUAGUACAUCACAGGGACAACCCAGCUGGGAGGGCCCUUGGGUGUCUCCUGCCCAAAUCCACCAAAUCCACAUCAGAGCCCUCAUAGAUUUGCCUCACAGAUUUUUCUUGAAAGCCUCCAAGAGCUCCAGAUGCAACCCACUGAACAUGCUGAGUGAUGGUUUUUGCCAUUCCUUUUCCAUCUUUCAGAAGCACAAAUUUCAGAAGACAUCAGAGAGAGCCCACCCUGGCAGGUUACACUGUGUCUGA
rnacentral:lncRNA from 1 species